GUGCCGAACAGUUAUUUUGAAUAAUAAAAGGGGGUUGCUAGCUGCUUUGAUAAACCAUUAAUGUGCAAGAUGCUUGGCACCAAGUGCUUCACUUGCACAUAAAUCACCUAAGCCCUGUUUACACUACGCUCAAUUUUUGGUAUGGCACGGAUAAAAUUGGUACCCGUAUACCACUUUUUUGGCUUUUGGACUACCUAUUUAGCUAAGCCCUGUUUACACUACGCUCAAUUUUUGGUACCGUAC